rnacentral:rRNA from 1 species
GACGAACGCUGGCGGCGUGCCUAAUACAUGCAAGUCGAACGCUUCUUUCCUCCUGAGUGCUUGUACUCAAUUGGCAAGAGGAGUGGCGGCCGGGUGAGUAACACGUCUGUAAUUUACCCAUCCGUCGGGGAUAACACUUGGAUACAGGUGCUAAUCCCGCAUAACAGUUUAUGCCGCAUGGCAUUAGAGCGAAAGGCGCUUUCGGGUGUCGUUGUUGGAUGGAUCGGCGGUGCAUUAGCUAGCAGGUGGGGUAACGGUUCACCAAGGCGAGGAGGCACAGCCGAAGUGAGAGGCGGAUCGGCCACAUGGGAGCGGGGCCACGGACCAUACUCCUACGGGAGGGAGCAGAAGGGAACGGGCGGCAAUGGUCGAAAGUAUGACCGAGCGGGGCCGCGUGAGUGGAGAAGGCGUUCGGUGCGUAAAGCUCGGUUUUGGGUGAAGAACAGCGUCGUUAGUAACUGAACGUCGCCUGACGGUAACGAACCAAAAAGCAACGGCUAACUACGUG